UACGUAGGGGGCAAGCGUUAUCCGGAUUUACUGGGUGUAAGGGGAGCGUAGACGGAAUUGCAAGUCUGAUGUGAAAAUCCGGGGCCCAACCCCGGAACUGCAUUGGAAACUGUAUUUCUAGAGUGUCGAAGAGGCAAGUGGAAUUCCUGGUGUAGCGGUGAAAUGCGUAGAUAUCAGGAGGAACACCAGUGGCGAAGGCGGCUUGCUGGACGAUGACUGACGUUGAGGCUCGAAAGCGUGGGGAGCAAACAGG
rnacentral:rRNA from 1 species